rnacentral:misc_RNA from 1 species
UUUUGCUUUGUUUUUGGUUUUGUUCUCACCUCCAAACCACUGCCCCUUUCCACCUUAUUUUCCCUGUUGCUUCUCUCAUUCUCUCUUCUCGAUAGUCAAUUCCACUCCUUCUAUUUCAUUUCUAAAUGAGUUUCCAUCAUCGUCCAAGCAACAAGUUCUUGUGUCUUUGUCGACCUAUUAUCACUCAUCCUCAUCUUAGAGAGGCAGCCACAAGUACUUCGACCUUCAUGGCCUGUCACUCUUCCUCAGAUUAUCGUCUACUAAGGCUAUUUCCUCAAUUCUUCCUCAGCCUAUAGUCGUCCUAGCUCACUGGAAAUGGGUGUUUGUUUUUGUAGAAAGUUGUGGGUACAAAUCUAUAUUGGGUUCAAAAUGGAACUGACUAAUUGCAAACCCCUAAUUGGGAAGCAAGAAUCUAAAAGGAGGUAGAACAUGGGAUGGAUCUACUCACCUGCAGUCUUUUGCUUGUCGCUGCUCUCAUCACUAUCAGUUGCAAGUCGCUAGCAGGGUUUUGGUGAAGUCCCAGAACAUAAAAGUGUGGAAGGAAACUUGGAAAGGUCGAAGGAUUGAGAAGCAUUAAAGAAACAAAGUACACGGGUCGUGUAAAUACAACCACAGACCCAUGUAACAUUCUGCCAAAAGAAAUCCAGAGAACCGAGGAAGAGACAAAGCACACGGGCCGACCCGUAUAACUUUUUGUGCCAGUACGAAACAUGCCCAUUCAGCUCCAGUAAGUUACA